AAAGGCGCCCAAGUUCUGCUCGGCUAUCCAUCUCAGAUAUCAAAUCACCAGGUGAUCCAAAAUAUAUGGACGCAGUUGAAUUAAGUCCCGAGGAAUCUGAAGAUGUUCUUUUCAAGGAGGCAUGGCUUACAUAUAUUUGGAGCAGAGCCAAAGACAAUGGUAUAAAAGAGGAUAUUGCCAGAGAGCGGCUUCAGUUUUGGAUUAACCGCCGUGGGCACUCACCAAGUUCACAUGAUGCUGUUGAUGUUGAGCAAGGCCUGAUGGAGCUCAGGAAGCUGGGGAUAGAGCGUCUACUGUGGGAAGCAUCGCGCAAGGAAAGUGAUCAGGAUUCUUCCACUA
rnacentral:misc_RNA from 1 species